GACGGAGGAUGCAAGCGUUAUCCGGAAUUAUUGGGCGUAAAGCGUCCACAGGUGGCAGUUCAAGUCUGCUGUCAAAGACCGGGGCUCAACCUCGGAAAGGCAGUGGAAACUGAACAGCUAGAGUAUGGUAGGGGCAAAGGGAAUUCCUGGUGUAGCGGUGAAAUGCGUAGAGAUCAGGAAGAACAUCGGUGGCGAAGGCGCUUUGCUGGACCAUAACUGACACUCAGGGACGAAAGCUAGGGGAGCGAAUGGG
rnacentral:rRNA from 1 species